rnacentral:rRNA from 1 species
UACAGAGGUCCCAAGCGUUGUUCGGAUUCACUGGGCGUAAAGGGUGCGUAGGCGGUUGGGUAAGUCUGAUGUGAAAGCUCGGAGCUUAACUCCGAAAUGGCAUCGGAUACUAUCCGACUAGAGGAAUGGAGGGGAGACUGGAAUACUUGGUGUAGCAGUGAAAUGCGUAGAUAUCGUAAGGAAGACCAGUGGCGAGGGCGGGUCUCUGGACAGUUCCUGACGCUGAGGCACGAAGGCCAGGGGAGCAAACGGG